rnacentral:rRNA from 1 species
AUUGAACGCUGGCGGCAUGCUUUACACAUGCAAGUCGAACGGCAGCACGAAAGAGCUUGCUCUUUUGGUGGCGAGUGGCGAACGGGUGAGUAAUGCAUCGGAACGUACCGAGUAAUGGGGGAUAACUAUCCGAAAGGAUAGCUAAUACCGCAUACGCUUUGAGAAGGAAAGUGGGGGCUCUUCGGACCUCACGUUAUUCGAGCGGCCGAUGUCUGAUUAGCUAGUUGGUGGGGUAAAGGCCUACCAAGGCGACGAUCAGUAGCGGGUCUGAGAGGAUGAUCCGCCACACUGGGACUGAGACACGGCCCAGACUCCUACGGGAGGCAGCAGUGGGGAAUUUUGGACAAUGGGCGCAAGCCUGAUCCAGCCAUGCCGCGUGUCUGAAGAAGGCCUUCGGGUUGUAAAGGACUUUUGUUAGGGAAAAAAGGAUAGUGUUAAUACCAUUAUCUGCUGACGGUACCUAAAGAAUAAGCACCGGCUAACUACGUGCCAGCAGCCGCGGUAAUACGUAGGGUGCGAGCGUUAAUCGGAAUUACUGGGCGUAAAGCGAGCGCAGACGGUUUAUUAAGCAAGAUGUGAAAUCCCCGAGCUUAACUUGGGAACUGCGUUUUGAACUGGUAAGCUAGAGUAUGUCAGAGGGGGGUAGAAUUCCACGUGUAGCAGUGAAAUGCGUAGAGAUGUGGAGGAAUACCGAUGGCGAAGGCAGCCCCCUGGGAUAAUACUGACGUUCAUGCUCGAAAGCGUGGGUAGCAAACAGG